UACAGAGGUCUCAAGCGUUGUUCGGAUUCAUUGGGCGUAAAGGGUGCGUAGGCGGCCAACUAAGUCAGACGUGAAAUCCCUCGGCUCAACCGGGGAACUGCGUCUGAUACUGGAUGGCUUGAAUUCGGGAGAGGGAUGCGGAAUUCCAGGUGUAGCGGUGAAAUGCGUAGAUAUCUGGAGGAACACCGGUGGCGAAGGCGGCAUCCUGGACCGAGAUUGACGCUGAUGCGCGAAAGCCAGGGGAGCAAACGGG
rnacentral:rRNA from 1 species